GAUCCUGGCUCAGGAUGAACGCUAGCUACAGGCUUAACACAUGCAAGUCGAGGGGCAGCAUCAUCAAAGCUUGCUUUGAUGGAUGGCGACCGGCGCACGGGUGAGUAACACGUAUCCAACCUGCCGACAACACUGGGAUAGCCUUUCGAAAGAAGGAUUAAUACCGGAUGGUAUAGUUUUCCCGCAUGGGAUGAUUAUUAAAGAACUUCGGUUGUCGAUGGGGAUGCGUUCCAUUAGG
rnacentral:rRNA from 1 species